rnacentral:tRNA from 1 species
AAGAAUAUAAUUUAAAUUAAAAUAUUUGAUUUGCAUUCAAAAAAUAUCGCUUUAUUGAUUAUUUUUA